rnacentral:lncRNA from 1 species
CUCUUCCUCCCAGCUGCCUCCUUGCUCUGCUCAUUUGCCAUUUACUCUUCAGUUUUUUUCCUUUUCGUUUAGUUUUGAUUAUUUUAAAUGCAUUUUCCGUCACCCUUUGGCAAUGUGUCUGGUUUUAAACUAAGAAAAAAGGACAUGCCCACCGGUGUUGGACAUGUGCCUGGAAUGUGUCUGCGUGUGGAUAUGUGUCAGACACGGACACUCCAGAUCUAGUAGCAUUUCGGUGCUUACUAAUGAUUCUCUCUCAAACAUUGGAUUAAGGCACGUGCAUAAAGAUUGACAAAUCAAAUUUCCCAUUAGAGAUCUCGAUAUUAUUGACGUAACAAUAUUGUCUUAUCUGCUACUCAUCCUGUCCACGCUUGAAUGCUGUUCUAGCUGUGAAUUGAAUAAGUUGAUAUUUGAUUUAAGUAUUCAUUUUCACCAUCGAAACUAAUGGCCGGGAAUCCUUGUCAUGUUAGAUUGUGUGUGUGUGUUUGUAUGUCCAACUUUAUCUUUAUCCUUUAUUACUGAAAAUGCUAUUGAUACUUCCAUGUGGCAACACCAAUUUUUUUCCGUGUCAAAUCUUUCAGCUUGUGUGCAAAGAAGUUUGGAGGAAAAUGGGCUCCAAUUUCUAGUAAGAAAACAUUAAAUAAUCAGGAACACAAGAGAGCGUCUUCAAGUCCUAAGGAUCAGCCUUCCAAUAAACAAUGGAAGGGGGAAAACCCUGUCCGAAUACCACCACCCACAGAGCCAUAUGCUGAUAUUAAAUGUCCUAAUUCGUGGAUCUGUAAAAACUCUGCAUGUCGAGCCACUAUUUCAAUAGAUGACACAUUUUGCAAGAGGUGCUCUUGUUGCAUUAGUCAUUUAUUUGACGACAAUAAGGAUACAAGUCUCUGGUUGGAAUGCACAUCUAAAUCUGGUUCAGGGUACUCUUGUGUCUUAUCUUGCCACAUUGAAUGUGCUAUCCAUCACGGGAAUGUGGGAGUUGUUGAUCUUGGUCAGUUGCCGCUGCUAGAUAGAAGCUAUUGAUGUACUUCAUGUGGCAAGGUUUCCGGGAUACUGGGAUAUGCUGUUUACUUUUAACAUGUUUUUUUCUAUUACAUGAAAGGCUUUAUC